rnacentral:rRNA from 1 species
UAGGGAAUUUUGCGCAAUGGACGAAAGUCUGACGCAGCAACACCGUGUGAGGGAUGAAGCAUUUCGGUGUGUAAACCUCUGUCGAUGAUGAAUAAUGCGUGUGGGAGUGGAAAGCCCAUGCGUUGAAGGUAAUCAUGAAGGAAGCACCGGCUAACUCUGUGCCAGCAGCCGCGGUAAUACAGGGGGUGCAAGCGUUGUUCGGAAUCACUGGGCGUAAAGGGAGCGUAGGCGGAACUACAAGACAGGGGUUAAAGAUCCGGGCUCAACCUGGAGACUGCCUUUGUGACUGUGGUUCUUGAGUAUGGUAGAGGUCAGCGGAAUUUCCGGUGUAGCGGUGGAAUGCGUAGAGAUCGGAAAGAACACCAGAGGCGAAGGCGGCUGACUGGACCAAUACUGACGC